UCUGUGCUAGGACAGUCAGAAGAGCAUGAAACUCUUAAUCUCAGGGUUGUGGGUUCAAGCCCCAUGUCCAGCA